rnacentral:rRNA from 1 species
GACGAACGCUGGCGGCGUGCUUAGUACAUGCAAGUCGAACGGAAAGGCCCUGCUCUUGCUGGUUGCUUGUGUGGCGAACGCGUGAGUAACACGUGUGUAUCCUGCCCUUGACUUUGUGAUAUCUUCACGAAACUGGGGCUCUUACCGCAUAUGAGCUUCUGCUGCAUGUUGUGGGUUGGAAAGUUUCGGCGGUUCGGGAUGGUCUCGCGGCUUAUCCGCUUGUUGGUGGGGUAGUGGCUUACCAAGGCUUUGACGGGUAGCCGGCCUGAGAGGGUGACCGGCCACAAUGGGACUGAGAGACGGAGCAGAAUCGUACGGGAGGCAACAGUGGGGAAUAUUGCACAAUGGGGGGAAGCCUGAGGCAGAGACGCCGGGUGCGGGAUGACGGCCUUCGGGGUGUAAACAGAUGUCGAAUGUGACGAAGAGUGAGUGACGGUAAUGGGUAAAGAAGCAACGGCUAACUACGUG